GGUGGGUUGUCCGAGCGGCCGAAGGAGCUUGUCUUGAAAACAAGUGGGCGGUAAUCCCGUCCCGCGGGUUCGAAUCCCGCACUCACCGCCA
rnacentral:tRNA from 1 species